rnacentral:tRNA from 1 species
GUAAGUAUAGUUUAACAAAAACAUUAGACUGUGAAUCUAAAAAUAGAAACUAACCCCUCUUACUUACC